rnacentral:misc_RNA from 1 species
CCGAGUUUACAACUCAUCAACCCCUGUGAACAUUACCUAUACUGUCGCUUCGGCGGAUCAGACCGCUCCCGGUAAAACGGGCCGGCCCCGCCAGAGGACCCCUAACUCUGUUUUAUAUGUAAUUUCUGAGUAAACAAUCAAAUAAAUUA